AUGGGCAGCGAGUCGAUCAUGGAGUCGUCGGACCAGACGGCGGCGAUAGUUGACGAGAAGUUCCACGCGCCGACCAAGACGGAGUUCACGGUGACCAAAUGCUUCACCUCCAAGGGUGCCGGAUUCACCGUCACGGACUCCGCCGGCGCCGCGGCCGUGAUGGAGGUGGAGACCACCGAAGUGGGCGUCCGCAACCUAAGCUGCCUGCUCUGCCGCGACGCUGCCUCACCCAGCCCGCUGAUCACCCUCCAGGAGGCCAUGAUCAGCAGCAUGGGUCAGCGGCAGUGGAAGGCGUUCAGGGGGCACGGCACCAACGGGAGCGAUUUGCUGUUCGUCGCCGUGGACAUGACGCGGUUUUUCCAGAUGGGGAUCACGCUCCACGUGUUCCGUGCCGGCAACAGCCCCCGCGACGAGAAACCCGAUUUCGUCGUCCGUGGCAGCUACUACCGCGGCGCCAUGACCGUGUCCCGCCGCAACGAAAAAGAUAACUACAUUGACAUUGCCGACAUUGCGGAGAUCGGCAGGGAGAGUUCUCUGUGGUGCGCGAUGCUUGGACAUAACACGUAUACUGUAAGUAUCAGCCAGGAAGUCGACCAGGCGUUCGUCCUGGCACUCACCGUGAUCCUCGACCAGACGUAUAGCCCUAAGCUCAACUCAUGUUGCUGUGCUUGUGACCAUUCAUCUCCAUAUGGGAGAGAUUGCCGCCGUAGACAUAAUCGUUCAAUAGAUAUGUGA
rnacentral:rRNA from 1 species